CCUACGGGAGGCAGCAGUGAGGAAUAUUGGUCAAUGGACGAGAGUCUGAACCAGCCAAGUAGCGUGAAGGAUGACUGCCCUAUGGGUUGUAAACUUCUUUUAUAAAGGAAUAAAACGAGGCACGUGUGCCUGUUUGCAUGUACUUUAUGAAUAAGGAUCGGCUAACUCCGUGCCAGCAGCCGCGGUAAUACGGAGGAUCCGAGCGUUAUCCGGAUUUAUUGGGUUUAAAGGGGGCGUAGAUGGGUUGUUAAGUCAGUUGUGAAAGUUUGGGGCUCAACCGUAAAAUUGCAAUUGAUACUGGCAGUCUUGAGUACAGUUGAGGUAAGCGGAAUUCGUGGUGUAGCGGUGAAAUGCUUAGAUAUCACGAAGAACCCCGAUUGCGAAGGCAGCUUACUAACCUGUGACUGACAUUGAUGCUCGAAAGUGUGGGUAUCAAACAGGAUUAGAUACCCGAGUAGUC
rnacentral:rRNA from 1 species